AUCUUUGCUUUUGGGGCAAUGAUUCAACUAAUGAGGUACUAACAGAGGUGUCUCUAUUGCUGGUUGAAAACUAUUUCCAGAUAAUAAUCAAUUAAAAUAAAAAGAAGGGAGAAUUAGCUAGAAAAUCAUGAAAGAU
rfam:Arabis alpina cultivar Pajares chromosome 2, whole genome shotgun sequence.